UUCCACUUUACCUGAGAAACAGAAGAAAAAACACACGUCGGUUUGAGGAACAGUGAAGCUAACAUGCUAACUGUUUACUAGCUGGUCAGGCCUGCAGUGGAGGGAAAUGCUGGGGUUAGGGGGCUUCAUUUUAACAUGUAACUUUUAGAAAUAAAACCUGCUGCAGAUGUAGAACCGUAAACAGGAGCUGAGGAGGAAGAGGACGGCCUCAGAGGGCAGUAAACAGGGGCAGAACGGAGGAGCAGGUGGUAGUAGUGGUCGUAUUUCUGCCUCCUAACGGCUCCUCACAUCCUCACAGACCGUUUUAUUAUUAUUUCUGCUGUGCUCAAAUGAUUUCUAGCUCGCUGCUGAAUAAACGGGCUGUGUUGGGAGUUUGGUGAGGAGGAUUCAGAGGGAGCUGACCGGCAUGGCGACCUUCCCUCCUCACCGCGCAUAUGGAGGAAACCGAGAUCCACCGAGCUCCAGCACACCGACCAGGCUUGUACCGCUCAUUCUGGAUGUGUGGAGGGGAAAUCCUGCAUUUAGCAUUCACACCGGUCACAGCCAGGGCUGCUCAGGGUCACAGAACCACAGGAGCAACAUGUUCUGAGACUUCAGCUGAGCACUGGUGACCUCCUUUUAAAAGUUAAAAUAAGUAAAACCUGCCUGCUGUGUUUCUGAUCAUCAUGUGGGCUCUGGGACAUUUCCUCAGGUCAAACAACCUGUCUUUGGAGGUAAAACCCUCCCUCUGAAGCCUCACUGUCGUCUCUUUAAACUGCUGUUUGACGAGGAAAUAAAGCUCCUACUUCAUG